AUCGGUUUAACAUUGCCCUUGGGACGGCUAAGGGAAUAACUU
rnacentral:sRNA from 1 species